ACAUAGCCCUUGAAAAAAUCAAAGGUGUAACCUGCCCAAUGAUUUUAAAUUUCAUAAGAAUAAUCUUUUAUAAUAAAAUUUAAAGGACGCAGUAACCUGACUGUGGUAAUGUAGCAUAAUCAUUCGCCAUUUAAUUGAUGGAUAGUAUGAAUGGUUGAACGAAUUCUUCACUGUCUUAAAAAGAGAAAUCAUGAAAUUAAAAUAAUAGUUAAGAUGCUAUUUACUAUUGUAAGACGAAAAGACCCUAUAGAGCUUAACUACAAAUUUUUUAAUAAAAAGAAAUUUUUAAAAUUCUAAAACAAAAAGUUGGGUAGUUUAGUUGGGGCGACUAUCUUCUAAAAUUAACGAAGACAAGCAACAUUAAUAAUUAAUUUAUUGUAUAAUCCAUAAAUUUAACAAUUACAAAAGUAGGCUAUAAUGACCCGUUAUAAUCUAAUAAUAGAAAUAACGAUCAAUAAAUAAAAGCUACCUUAGGGAUAACAGGAUAAUUUUGUUCUAGAGAUCUUAUCGAAAACAAAGUUUGUCACCUCUAUGUUGAAUUAAGAUA
rnacentral:rRNA from 1 species